rnacentral:rRNA from 1 species
GAGUUUGAUCAUGGCUCAGAAUCAACGCUGGCGGCGUGCCUAACACAUGCAAGUCGCACGCGAAAGGGGCUUCGGCCCUGAGUAGAGUGGCGAACGGGUGAGUAACGCGUGGGUGACCUGCCUUCGAGUGGGGGAUAACGUUUCGAAAGGAACGCUAAUACCGCAUAACAUCCUGCCCUUGGAUGGGUGGCGAUCAAAGCCGGGGAUCGCAAGACCUGGCGCUUGGAGAGGGGCCCGCGUCCGAUUAGCUAGUUGGUGGGGUAACGGCUCACCAAGGCGACGAUCGGUAGCCGGCCUGAGAGGGCGGACGGCCACACUGGGACUGAGACACGGCCCAGACUCCUACGGGAGGCAGCAGUGGGGAAUUGUUCGCAAUGGGCGAAAGCCUGACGACGCAACGCCGCGUGGAGGGUGAAGGUCUUCGGAUUGUAAACUCCUGUUGAUCGGGAAGAACUCCCUCGGGGCUAAUACCUUCGAGGGUCGACGGUACCGGUUGAGGAAGCCCCGGCUAACUCUGUGCCAGCAGCCGCGGUAAUACAGAGGGGGCAAGCGUUGUUCGGAAUUACUGGGCGUAAAGGGCGCGUAGGCGGCCGACUAAGUCAGACGUGAAAUCCCCAGGCUCAACCUGGGAACUGCGUCUGAUACUGGCUGGCUUGAAUCCGGGAGAGGGAUGUGGAAUUCCAGGUGUAGCGGUGAAAUGCGUAGAUAUCUGGAGGAACACCGGUGGCGAAGGCGGCAUCCUGGACCGGCAUUGACGCUGAGGCGCGAAAGCCAGGGGAGCAAACGGGAUUAGAUACCCCGGUAGUCCUGGCCCUAAACGAUGAGUGCUUGGUGUGGCGGGUAUCGUUCCCUGCCGUGCCGAAGCUAACGCAUUAAGCACCUCCGCCUGGGGAGUACGGUCGCAAGGCUGAAACUCAAGGAAUUGACGGGGGCCC